UAGGGAAUCUUCGGCAAUGGACGAAAGUCUGACCGAGCAACGCCGCGUGAGUGAAGAAGGUUUUCGGAUCGUAAAACUCUGUUGUUAGAGAAGAACAAGGACGUUAGUAACUGAACGUCCCCUGACGGUAUCUAACUAGAAAGCCACGGCUAACUACGUGCCAGCAGCCGCGGUAAUACGUAGGUGGCAAGCGUUGUCCGGAUUUAUUGGGCGUAAAGCGAGAGCAGGCGGUUUCUUAAGUCUGAUGUGAAAGCCCCCGGCUCAACCGGGGAGGGUCAUUGGAAACUGGGAGACUUGAGUGCAGAAGAGGAGAGUGGAAUUCCAUGUGUAGCGGUGAAAUGCGUAGACAUAUAGAGGAACACCAGUGGCGAAGGCGGCUCUCUGGUCUGUAACUGACGCUGAGGCUCGAAAGCGUGGGGAGCAAACAGG
rnacentral:rRNA from 1 species